GAGUUAUACUUUCAACUGCUUUCUACGUUCAUGCAAAUUCACCUUUUUCUUUGCGAAUGGGGCGCUCUGAGCAGGAGAGCCCAUCUAGUGCUGUUUCCCUCUGCGUCUUUGAGGGUGGGGCUUCCUUCCUGCUGUGAAGUGGCAUAGGAAUCAUAAGGAAACCACUCACUUUCCUGUCUUGUUUUUGUUACUCUGACAAGGAAAGAAGCUAAGUAUUGUGGCAGCCCACCGAGUUUUCUUGUUUAACUCAGGCCCCAUGGUAAGAAGAAAGGCUAUGAAGACCCUAAAUCCUCACAGGGAAAUAGAAGGCCAAUCCUGGUCUGGAAUGGCAAAUGUCUUCACAAGAGAUAUCCAGUCAAAGCAGAAAUGUGUUUGUGUGUGACUUAAACAAAUAGGCCAAUAAACUAGCUUAUUUCUAAGUGGUAUUGGGAGAUAAUUCGUAGUGCUGUGAGGCUGGUAAUGGGGUGUGGCACAGGGUCCUAUCAAAAGAUAGUUAGUGGUAGGGACCACAAUCAUGUGGCCACAUGAAUUUCCCUACCAGAUAUUAUUAGAGAUGGAAAUGCUAUGUUGUAACAUGAAGGAGGCCCCAAUUAUUUUAUAUGAAGAGCUAAACUCAUUUCAUUUCUUGAAUUUGCUCUGCAAUAAUAUGGAAUAGGGCGGGCAUCAAAAUCAAAAAUGAAAUACGAGCUUAUGAGCUGAGAAGUAUUAAAGCUGGUGGUGGACAUGGGCAGAUAAGCUCAAAGUUCAGUUGUGAACCACUGCUUUACGUUAAAGCGUGAAGAGGUGAGAUUGUAGCUUGCUAGAGCAUGUACUUAGCAUGUAUGUAGUCCUGGGUUUCAGUCUCCAGCACUAAUGUUUUUAAAAAAAAUGACAAGCAAUCUUAGGUUUAACAUUUCCUGCAUUAGGGACCCAGCCCAUAGUUGUGGGAAAGCAUUUGCUAAAGCAAACCGUACUGCUCGAAAAGAGUCUACAAAUCAAAAUGCAUUCCUUAAAGUUGCCCGUUAGACCCCUUCCCUUCAGUCAGCCCUUCUCCUCCGCACAGUUCUUCCUCUAAUUGUCAGUUUGGAGAGAGCGACCAGUUUCAAUUUUUAAGUGGUAAAAGUAAUUUAGAAUACACGCCUUUGUCUAGAUGGAUCACAGCAAUCUUGCUUUCGGCAAUUGCUCCACUUUCCCAAGCCUUGGCAAGAUGCUCAAAACAACAUUUCCUUCUUUUCAUUCUAGAGCAGGGUGAUUGGGACUCACAGGGCGUGGGCUUUUCCCAUAAUCCAGCCUGGUGUUUUACACCAGGGAGUUACAAUGAGUGUAGACUUUAUCCUUGCUUCCACACCCUUUCAGUAAGAGAACGCCAUGUUCUCAUAGUUGGCGCAAAGUUAUUUUUAAUACUUAGCCCUCUAAGUGUUCACGAUAAUUGAAUCCCAUUUCCAACCUGAUGAAUUCUUGUCUAUUUGCCUCAAAGAUAAAUGGAAACUUCCUGUUUGGUGUGGUGGUAUUCCUCUGUAUGACGUCAGGUUGUUUUUAAGUUUUCGGUUUUGUUUUGUUUUGUUAUUUAGGUCUAUGCGACUCCAUCAGGGUAACUGACUUCCUAAUUAGUCUUUAAUAACAAUUCCUGGAACACUGUGAGGUCAAUGGCACAUCAGCUAGGUGAGUUAUAUUUGGGGUCAAGGAUUCAGGUCAAGGUCACUUCAGGUUCUCUUCUCACAUUUAUGCCCAAUGUGUACAGACAUUGACAGACAGGCUAUCUAUCCAAUGGAGCUCGAGUAGGGAAUUAGGACUGCAGAGAACUUGAGCAAGGAACGAAUACUCCAGGUGGUUUUACUUGCUUUACUGAUCAUUGCCACGAUCCUAUUGCUCACAACUCGUCUUUGAUGCUGUCUGUAAGUUUUAGAGAUCAUUUUACUGUUCUCCCUUCCUCUCACUGCUCUGCCUCUCAGGGAAUACUAUAUAAAGCGCUCUUCCAUUGAACACAGCCAUUUCCCGCCCCCCAAAGAUCUGCAUUUUUUUAUACAAAUAAUAAAGACAGUGAGGUGUUUCCAUAGCAUACUGAGGAGCGAUCUUUAAAGGUUUUAUUUUUGUUUUUAAUUGUGUGUGUGCACUCG